AUUGAACGCUGGCGGCAUGCUUUACACAUGCAAGUCGAACGGCAGCGCGGGCUUUGGCUUGGCGGCGAGUGGCGAACGGGUGUGUAUUGCAUCUGAAUGUGCUCAGUAGUGGGGGAUAGUCAGGCGAAAGCCGGAUUGAUACUGCAUACGACCUGAGGGUGCUAGAGGGGGUUCGAUGGGACUCGUCCUAUUGGAGCGGCCGAUGUGGGGUUGGCUAGUUGGUGGGGGAAAGGCUUACCAAGGCGACGAUCGGUAGCUGGUCUGAGAGGACGAGCGGCCACACGGGGACUGGAACACGGCCCAGACUCCUACGGGAGGCAGCAGUGGGGAAUUUUGGACAAUGGGGGCAACCCUGAUCCAGCCAUGCCGCGUGCGGGAAGAAGGCCUUCGGGUUGUAAACCGCUUUUGUUCGGGAAGAAAUCCUCUGGGCUAAUACCCCGGGGGGAUGACGGUACCGGAAGAAUAAGCACCGGCUAACUACGUG
rnacentral:rRNA from 1 species